UUCAAUUGCGUUCUUGACAGGCGUAACUGUCAAUACUAAGCUUUUGCCGUUCUUCCUAUUCUUACUUGAGUUUACGAGGUCCUGCUGUCAGAUAGUGUCUACAUUCUAUUGGGCUUUUAAAGGUCUUCGAAGCAAUCUUAACGCUGUCUAUAGCUUGAGAGGAUAAUUCAGUAUUGGCUUUAGAUGUAGAAGAACAUGUAAAAUAAUAAUAAGGAAAUAUUAGGUUAAUUUAAAAUUGAGUGUAAGAAGAAUUAAGAUUAAAGGGGGGACAGUGAAACAUGUUUUACUGUACCGAGUUUUAUUGUGCCCCAGCACUACCUUAAGUAAAAAAUAUAAGUACAUCUAAAAUUUUUAAGGUUAUAGCCGUAGACAACUGACUAUGAGAAAUAUUACGAGAAACGAUCAAGAAAUACUUAAAAAAUAUGAAGACUCACCAAAAUCAAACUGUUUUCCGAAUAAAAUGAAAAUAGUCUUGAAAAAUUCGCCAAAUUAUUUUUUAACAGAAAUUUCGAAAAAAAAGCAACGCACCAACAUUAAACAAAUUAUAAGAUAAUAACUGCACCAAAAUGGCGGUUCGGCCGCUUAACAAAUUAGUGUUACGAGAUCAAAUGAAUUGUUACAAAUAUAUGGAAAUAUUGUAAUUGUUUCACUGUAUCCCUUGUGUUACUGUGCCCCACCUUCCCCUACUAUUUAACUAAAUUUUAACCUUCGGAUUUAUAUGGAUACAAUAUUAAUAUAACUUUUAAAAUUGUUUAGAUUUACAAUAGGUCCUUUGUAACACGUGAAGUUAUGAAAAAGGUAUUCAACAAUGAUACGGUUCUUGUGGAAUCGUGAUGACGUAACGAUAUAAUGGGGUGUGAAACAGCGCCCCCACUCGUCUGGAUCACUACACAACCGCCAUUACGUAUCCAAUCUCAAUUUCAAUUUCAGCACGGCAUUGUAUUAGGUUCGAUUUAUUUCUAUUUUUAACACACCUGUUUAAUAUUAAAGCUGAGUCAGAUUUAUUACUUUCAUACGUAAAUUGGCAGGUCCGUUGUUACCUUGAAUAGAGAGCACAAAGAAUCUGUGACGAGAAACACCUGGUUGCUGAGGUGCAGCAUGUCAAUAAUUUCAUGAAAGAACUUUCACCGGGUCCGAGUGAGAGAGAAAGAAGAAGUAAUAAUUCUCUAUGAGUCGAUAGAAACGUGAUUUUGAGAGAUACAUUCAAAUGUGCAUUUAUUAUGGUCGAAUUUAGACCACUGGGCGACCACUAGUAAAAAUUAUUCAACAAUGGUACAAUACAAUAUUAAACAUUUUACGUAGAAGAUUUAGUAUAAGACAUAAUUCAAUAACAAAACGCUAUUAUCUACACCAGGGCAUCACGAAAUGUG